rnacentral:rRNA from 1 species
CCUACGGGAGGCAGCAGAGGAGGAUCAUUCGCAAUGGGCGAAAGCCUGACGGUGCGACGCCGCGUGAGGGAUGAAGGCCUUCGGGUUGUAAACCUCUGUCAGGAGUUAAGAACGGCGGGGGCGCCAAUACCGCUCCCGCGUGACAAAGGCUCCAAAGGAAGCCACGGCUAACUACGUGCCAGCAGCCGCGGUAAUACGUAGGUGGCAAGCGUUACUCGGAAUUACUGGGCAUAAAGGGCGUGUAGGCGGAGGCGUAAGUCCGGUGUGAAAGCCCUCGGCUCAACCGGGGAAGGCCAUCGGAUACUGCGUUUCUCGAGUGCGGGAGGGGAGAGUGGAACUCUUGGUGGAGCGGUGAAAUGCGUAGAUAUCAAGAGGAACGCCGGUGGCGAAAGCGGCUCUCUGGCCCGUAACUGACGCUGAGGCGCGAAAGCUAGGGGAGCAAACGGGAUUAGAUACCCCGGUAGUCCUAGCCCUAAACGAUGGGUACUAAGUAGGGGCGACUCCGAUGUCGUCUCUGCUGUAGCGAAUGUGAUAAGUACCCCGCCUGGGGAGUACGGUCGCAAGGCUGAAACUUAAAGGAAUUG